GAUGAACGCUGGCGGCGUGCCUAAUACAUGCAAGUCGAGCGAACAGACGAGGAGCUUGCUCCUCUGACGUUAGCGGCGGACGGGUGAGUAACACGUGGAUAACCUACCUAUAAGACUGAGAUAACUUCGGGAAACCGGAGCUAAUACCGGAUAAUAUAUUGAACCGCAUGGUUCAAUAGUGAAAGACGGUUUUGCUGUCACUUAUAGAUGGAUCCGCGCCGCAUUAGCUAGUUGGUAAGGUAACGGCUUACCAAGGCAACGAUGCGUAGCCGACCUGAGAGGGUGAUCGGCCACACUGGAACUGAGACACGGUCCAGACUCCUACGGGAGGCAGCAGUAGGGAAUCUUCCGCAAUGGGCGAAAGCCUGACGGAGCAACGCCGCGUGAGUGAUGAAGGUCUUCGGAUCGUAAAACUCUGUUAUUAGGGAAGAACAAAUGUGUAAGUAACUAUGCACGUCUUGACGGUACCUAAUCAGAAAGCCGCGGCUAACUACGUG
rnacentral:rRNA from 1 species